CGUGUAGGCGGCCAGGUAGGUCUGCUGUGAAAACUCGAGGCUCAACCUCGAGAUGUCGGCGGAAACCAUCCGGCUAGAGUCCGGAAGAGGAGAAUGGAAUUCCCGGUGUAGCGGUGAAAUGCGCAGAUAUCGGGAAGAACACCCGUGGCGAAGGCGGUUCUCUGGGACGGUACUGACGCUGAGACGCGAAAGCGUGGGGAGCGAACA
rnacentral:rRNA from 1 species